rnacentral:rRNA from 1 species
CAGUCGCCGCGGGAAUACGAAGGGUGCAAGCGUUAAUCGGAAUUACUGGGCGUAAAGCGUGCGUAGGCGGUGAGUUAAGUCUGCUGUGAAAUCCCCGGGCUCAACCUGGGAAUGGCAGUGGAUACUGGCUCGCUAGAGUGUGUCAGAGGAUGGUGGGAUUCCCGGCGUAGCGGUGAAAUGCGUAGAGAUGUGGAGGAACACCGAUGGCGAAGGCAGCCCCCUGGGCCAAUACUGACGCUCAUGCACGAAAGCGUGGGGAGCAAACAGGAUUAGAUACCCCAGUAGUCCCUGUCUCUUAUAC